AACUGAUCCAUGAGAGUAGGAACCCCAUCAUACGGGAAUUUCGAAAUCAUGGGUUUUUUG
rfam:Staphylococcus aureus subsp. aureus NCTC 8325, complete genome.